AGCGUGCGCGCGAGCGGCCGUUGGUAACGGUCGUGAGGCAGCCGUUAGUAACGGUCAGCGGGGUGGUGAGGCCGUGAGGUGACUUGAGGGUCUGGUGGCCCUGAGUGGUCUCAAAACCUCCCGGGACGGCCUUAGAACUCUCAGGAAUGGCCGCAAAAGCCUCGCCCAGCCCCAGCCCGAGAGUCGGUGCAGGAGGAAGGGACUGCCAUCCUGUGCGCUGAGCGUGGAGCCUGAUGCUUUGGGCCAGUCUGUGGCUGCCGGAGCAGAAGGGCAGCAGUCAUUUAAGCACAAGGAAGUACGUCGUCCAGCCGGCGAGCAGCAGUGCUCCAACCAGCACCGUGUAGCUGAACAGCACGAAGGCCAGCAGCUCCCUCAGGACCUUGAGGAAGUGGAUGGCAAAGGAGUCUGGCAUGGUUCUUCCCAGCACCACAGGGCAGGUAAGGUGUCGGGAGCUGGCUGCUGCCUUGUUCUUCUGUGCUCUGUAUGAAGGAGAAGCAAAGGGACAGGAUGGGUUUUUCCCAGAAGGAUGGUGUGGCUCUGCUGUAGGGAGAAAUGGUUGUUUGGGAGGGUUAACAGCCACCCAGCCUCCUAAGCAAGUUGCUAAUUACCGAAGUGUAAGUGUGAGGCUCGUCUUGUGUGAGCUUGUUCAGACUUUUCCUGGGUUACCAAGCUGUGUGCAGUGUUGAAAAGGAGUUUGGGAUCUGAACAAUGUCUCCAAAUCAGGACUGGUAACUAAGCAAACUAAAAUAUGGAUGCACACGUAGUGGUCGCUGUUGUGUAGCUAAGGACCGGUGGCCCCCGGUUCAGCCGGAUCCUGAUGCCUUUCCCCCGUGUCGGUGGCUGUGCAUCCAGGAAGCUUCACAAGCGGAGUGUUCGCUGAUGCAUUACCACCAGUGUGUUCUGAUAAAAGUGGUCAAUUCCUCCAAGGAAGCCACCAUUAAUAUUUAAUGACAUAAUUGCAUCUAAUGGAGAUACUGGCACAAACUGAGCCUUUUGUUUAAGAGUGAGGAAAACUCGGGCUUAAAUACAAGUUUGCACAGAAAAAUAUUUCUGUCUCACCUUAAAAAUAACCUCUAAAUGGAAGACACAGGGUAAGAUGUUUUAGAACGCGUCUUCCAUCUGUGUUUUGAAGUCAUAUGAACACGUCACUUUAGAAGUUGCUCGUUUGUAAGUUUAAUAUAAAAUCUGAAAUUUCACAAAAGUUUUUGGCUCCUCAGACUUAAAUCUGUAAAGGUCCAACUAAAAAAUUCUGCUGUCUCCCUGACUUGCAUGUUCUUUUUAAUUUUGGUCACAACCAUGCCUGACAAAAUAUUCCCAGUCUUGGUGAAGCACAUAUAGGGAAUUUAAAAACAGAUUUUUGGAUAAAACUAACUUAAAAGGAUUAUGUCUCUUCUAAAUAGUCUACAGCCGGUCAGAGUAAAUUGAAUUCCUGUUCUGCCACUUUGAAUGCUUUUUAAAAAGCACGAUGAAGAGUUCACAGUUUGAUUAAAAUUAAGUCAUUCCUUUA